rnacentral:misc_RNA from 1 species
UGACACACAGACACAAGCAUAACGCAGACGCAGAUUUCCAAGUACGUUGCUGCGGCUCCUCUUCCUCCGUUACAUACGCACAGCUAAACGUGUGCACUGAGCAGAUCCACCUCUUGCCCCUCGCCACGAGGGCACCGCCUGCCCCAUCCUCUCCCCACCACCGCCACCCUUUCCUCACCGCACACACGUCGAGGCGCAUCUGGCCUUAGUCACGGACGGAGUGUGGGGACACCUCUGGUCGCUGCCUUUCGCCUCGCGGCGCUGCCCUUUAGCCCCCCCCCCUCGGCCUGCGUCCUUGCCUCUCCGUUCGUGCACGCGUGCGUGUCUCGGUUUCCUGCUCUCUAGGUGCCACGACCGCCAGCAAGUCUUUGUUGUGCCAGUCCUUGCUGCCGCCUCAUUCCUUAUCUCCUCUUGUCCUCCCUUCCUCGAUCCCUGUGUUUGCGACUGAGAAGGCUGUAGAACCGCGUACGGAGGAGCCUACCGUACGCUACUGUCAAUUCACUCCGCCACAGCCGUCGGCGUCAUCAUCAGCAACGAUACGGCCCAACACCCAACCAGCAGCGGCUCCCACCCUCCCCCUCCCCCAUCCCCGGUCUCUCGGUCUCCGUGUCUUUCGAGACGCACGCCCCUCGGCUUUCUCAUCUUUAUCGCGCGCGCUCCCUCCUUCUGCACGUCGCAAGCCGACGCUCCCGCUCACACGCACUCACGGGCCUGCACUCUCGCUCUCCGUCUCCGUCUGCUUUUUUUCGGUGCUUAGUCUCCUUGCGCUUGCGUGCGUGUUGUGCAGCUGCGUCUCUGCGCUCUGCACACACCUCUUCGUCUCUCUCCCCCUUCCCCAUCAACUUUAUCCAACCAGCCUCUCUCACACAUCACAAGCGCUUGCCCCUCAUCAUGUCCCCGCUCGACGCUUGUCGAGAGCAGUACGAGAAGGAUCUGGCCAACCAGACCCACUGCUGCAUGCUCGAGCAUAUCGAGGAAGAAAACAAGGCGGCCAACCGGAAGGUGUUUGUGAGGCUUCUCCGCUAUCAGCAGGAUAUCAACACGAAGGGCACGCUUCCCUUCGAACCGGACCCUACAGAUGCGCAGAAGAAGUCGAAAGGUAACAGUGCGGCGCCUGCCUACCCCGAGAACUUGACCAUUCGCGACCCGCGUCAGCUCAAGCAGAUUCUGCCCAUCCCCGACAUCCACAAGGUGUCCGACUGCGACCUUAUUUACCGCUUCCUUAUUGCCCGGCGCAUGGACGUCAACCUCGCCACGAACGACAUCUUGCACUACAUCGGCUUCCGCGAGAAGUACAACCUCGAUACGAUCUUGUGGGACCGCGAGGUGGAGGCGGUCUUCAACGGCCUCGAUGGCGAGGAGCUGAUGCAGCAGGUCAUGGAGGAGAUGAAGAAAGGCGCUAGCCCUGCGGCGAAGGUCAAGAUCACGCGCCCACUGCUGCAGGCUGGCUGGGCAGCGUGGAACUGUGGUGUGGACAAGCGUGGGCACGUCAUCUUCUACCAGCGUCCAAACCCGAAGGAGCUGGCGAUGCUCGAAAAACGUUGGCCCUACAUCGAGGGUCAGUACGACUGCCGCAACCCGGACUUCCACUCCGUAACGCCGCCUUACAGCAAUCUGCUGUCACGGGUGUACCUGCGAGAGGUCGAGAAAGGCCGCCGUAUCUCGCGCCUGCUGAAUUACAACCAGCAAUAUAUCAUCCGGGAAGGUCUGCACGUGCAGACCGCGGUGAAGCCGACGUCCACGGACACGUUCAUGGACAACGGCGGCGGCGCCACCUGCCUCGUUGACGUCGGUAGCAUCAAGCUGUCCCACCUGACUUCCAGCAAGUGCAAGAAGGCUUUCAAACUCUUCCGAGUUCUCUCGCUGACGGGGCAGAGCUUUUACCCGGAGAACAUGAGCCGCAUGAUCAUCAUCAACGGCGGAUUUGUGUUCAACAUGUUCUUCAAGCUCGUCCGACCGUGGCUGGACCCGCAGACGCAGAAGAAGAUUGUCCUUCUCUCCGCCGCCAACAGGGCCACCCUGGACGAGCUCAGCAGCGACUCGAACCACGUGUCGCAGAGCCACGAAACGAACGACAGCGAAGAGAGCGACGACGACGGGGCUCCCGCGGUCGGGGCGGACUCGGAAAAGGCAAAAUAUGCGCUGCGCGACGCGCUGGCCGAGUACAUCCACGAGGACUUUAUUCCCUCGUGGUACGGUGGCCGCCUGACCGUCGUUGACUCGCCUCUUUUCUACGGAGCUAGCCCGCCCAAAAGCCUAGCAGAAAACCCGCAGUACGCGGCCGCCUGCGAGCGCCUGCGUGCCCGCGUCGUGCCUCAACUGCUGCCGGACGCGUUCAUCUUCGCCAACGCCAAGGAGAGGGAGGGGGUCGGCCAGGAGGAAUGGGAGGCCUUCUGCAGUAUGACAGAGCGCACGCUGUUCCGCAAGCAGGCGAGCACAAAGUGAAGCAGCCAUUCAUGACCUCAGCCGCAUUCGUGGAAAAAAAAAAGGAGAGGCGAACAUGCGUGCCACCCCUGCUGCUUCCUGUCGCUCUCCUCUGCAUGCGCGUUCAUGAAUGGGGGGGGGGGGGGUAUGUCAGCUAAACCAGGGUUCACGCCUUUGCCUGCCCGUCUCGGUAUGGAGGAUGCCAUGUUCUCCAGACGCUGUAGAGUAGUAAUGCUGUGCAUCUAUAUACCUACAUACCUAUAUAUAUAUAGGAGUGUGUGAACAUGCGUGCGUGUCUUUCUGCUUCGCCUCGCUGCGCCCUCUCUCUCCCCCCUCCACCCCCUCCCUCGAUUUAUCCGUCGUGGCACGGGGAGGAGGAGGGGUACACACACACACGCACCUCUCCGUGCGGGGCAACCCCACCAUCCCUGCCAAACGCCGAGCACUUACCGCAUGGGGGAGUCAGAGCGAUGCAUCGCUGCUGGUAUCGGCGGCGAGGUCCCGGGCUGACGUUGCGUCGGAGCAGCUUGCGACGGUGUGAACAUGUGUGUGCCAUCCAUGCGAUGGGCAGAGCGUCAGCGCGACUCGAGCGUAUCCCAUCCGGCCCUCACACUGCCUACUGGUGUGGGGCGGCUGCGUGCCACCCCCGAGGGAGGCACCAGGGGUGGCGCACUGCUGUAACGCAUGUAUCUACCGCUGCGUCGCGCCGCACGAUGUGGGGGCCCUGUGGACAGGCCGGUCGGUGGAGGGAGGAGGGGAGGGGUGUAGCGCUUUAGAUCACGUCCUGGUGGCAGAGGAAUGGACACGCGCACACGUUGUGGGUACUCGCAAAAAGAGAGGCAAGCCUACUAUAUAUAUAUAUAUAUAUACAUAUAUAUAUAUAUAUAUGUAUUCAUGUACUGUAUGGCAUCACAUGACCAGUUGCAGUUACGUGCGUGGUCGUGUGUGUGUGGUCAUGUGUGUCGCUGGUGUGCCAUAUCAGUCCUUUCCGGCCGCGUGUUAUCGAUUUUUGUUCAUUCCUCCCUCGUGAGUUCAUACGUUCAUUUCCCUUUCAUUCUGGCCUUUGUGGUUCUCGCCAACCACCCACGGAAACGGAGAGCGAUGCACCUCCUCCCCUCUCGCAUCAUCACACGCGCGUCCGGCGGUGUGUUUGUGCAUGCCUCUGCCUUUCCCCACAUGUCCACCGGUCGGUCUCCGUCUUAUUUAUUUUUUUUUUUUGGGGGGGGGGGGGGGGGGGUAGAUCGGGGGUAGAUGAGGGACUUUGCCCAGUCACCUCGCAAGCUUGCCAUCUCAUUUUGCUUUCUCUCUGCGCAACGUGUGCCGGCACGCCCUCCUCCUCCCGCCCUCAUCCCCUCGCUCGAAGGAACGCUUGCUGAUGGUUCUGGGCCAACCUGUCACAGCGAGGAAGAGGUCAUGGGCGCGAUGCAGUGCAGCUGCAGAGUGAAAUGGGAGAAGGGCAGUGGCAGAGGAGGCGAGGGCGUCGAAGCCAAAGGCCACUGCUAGGUUGCGGCGUGUGCCCUCGGUAUGUGCGUGUGUGUGCCUUUCGGGCCCACCUCCUCUCCACUCCUCUCUCACCGCUGUCUGUCUUUCUCACCUCUACCUCUACCCCGCGCGAACAGGCACCUCACUGGCAAGAUGGGGGUGGAUGGAUGCGUCUAGGCAUGCCUUUUUUCGUGCAUCUGCGUGUUCGCAACUUUGGUUGCACGUUGAAAAGUGGUGGAGGAAUAGUGGCGAAGCGAAGGUCGCGCGUGCGAACGGGAUGAGCGACCCGGGCGGCGAUCAGCAAGAAAAAGGGCACAGCGACCGCGUUCACAUGCAAGAGAAAAACAAGGAGGCAGAGGCGUGCACAUGCAUGGUUGCUACCCCUCACCAACGCGCACGCUAAUCGACACAUCUUCGGUACGCCAUUUUCGUUUCUUUCUCAUAUCGUUGUCGCACACACCUGUGCAGCAACACACAUGUGCUCGCAGAAAAGGAUGUGCUAUUUGGCGACUCAAAAGCUUCCCGGCCCACAAAAAGAGUCACGCGUCCCCCUGUGGACAGCAGGGAGAGGGUGUGAAUGGUAUGCGCGAGCACGCGCUUACUGGUCACGCUUCUGUGCUGCGUUACCUUAGCAAUCCACGUCUACGGUAUAUGCAUCAUGGGGCGAACUGCUUGGCAUCCACACCCACACACACACACACAUGU